UCUCUCUCUCUCCCCGAUCUCGCUCUCUCUCUUUUCUCCUUCCCUCUGCCACCACCGGAAAUCUCAUCUCCAACCAUCACCUCUUGUCAUUGCCACUACCAAUCAAUGCAGCGCCAAAAUGCGACCCAGACCAAAGAGAAAUCGAAGCCAUGCAUCGACCCCGGCCUCUCUCUUCCACUCUCCUUCUAUCUGUUGUCGCCUGGAAACCCAAUUUCUGUUCACCACCUCACGUCACCGCCACCAUCCUUCGAACCAGUACCCAAAUCCGAUCAAAGUCCAGCCAUCCCGCCGCUGAUUGAAAGCUCCCAACCACCGCAUGCAUGCCCAGAAAGCUACGAUGCCAUACCAUCUGCGUUCACCGGUCUCCGAACCUUCUCCCAUAACCGCCGCCGCUACAAACAAGCUUAGGGCAAGAUGUUUAUCACCACUCCAAAGCCUCAUCAUCGACCCGACGCCGGAGAACUUCGUACACUCAUUCGCCGGCGAUCUGGGCUUCUGCAAAACUAGGGUUAUGACUUCCGGCCACGAUUGAGCCAAAUCACCACCAUAAAUGGAGUCAGCGUGUUCUUGUUCGCCAGAACCCCAUGGCUCCGAUCUCUGGUUCUGCCUAGAACUCUUGCAAGCGCCUCACGAGCCGCCGCAGGCGCGUGGACCACCGUAGCUCAGUCGCUCACGGUCGCCGUAAAUCGUGAGGACUUCUCGACUAGGUAAUUCAGUGAUUUCUCUUUAGCUGGAGCUUCUGGUUUGAGUAGAGUAAACCCUAAUAUCUGGUUAUUUGAUUUAGAGUAUGAGGUUGUGAAAUUCUGAGAUUUUGGAGAAGGGGAGCUGCUUGGUCAUUUUCACUAUUGUGGUAGCCAGACAACUGAGGGUGAUGGAACUGCCUUGUGAGAGUGCUAGAGUCGACUUAUAUUCGAAGAGAAUUGGGAAUGAUCGAAGGCUUGGAAUUAUGAAGGACGCCUCUGUUUUGGAAUCAAAUCCUUUUGGUAUGGAUGAGGAAAAAUUAUUAAGGUUUAAGUCUUGUUAGAGUUGUUUCUGCUGCAGUUUUGGUUUGUUGAGAAUGUGCAAAGUUAGUAAGUGUGACAAAUGAAAUGUUGUACGAGAAUGUAAUCGGUGCUUUAGCGUUAUGACUUAAGGAUUGGUAAAUGAAAAUGGAAAGAAAGUUGGAUGCUAAA